UACGUAGGGGGCAAGCGUUGUCCGGAAUUACUGGGCGUAAAGGGUGCGUAGGCGGCAUCUUAAGUCAGAUGUGAAAUAUCCAUGCUUAACGUGGAGGGUGCAUUUGAAACUGGGAUGCUUGAGUGCAGGAGAGGAAAGUGGAAUUCCUAGUGUAGCGGUGAAAUGCGUAGAUAUUAGGAGGAACACCAGUGGCGAAGGCGACUUUCUGGGCUGUAACUGACGCUGAGGCACGAAAGCGUGGGGAGCAAACAGGAUUAGAUACCCUGGUAGUCCACGCUGUAAACGAUGGAUACUAGGUGUAGGGGGCGAUAGCUCUCUGUGCCGCAGCAAACGCAAUAAGUAUCCCGCCUGGGGAGUACGAUCGCAAGGUUGAA
rnacentral:rRNA from 1 species